rnacentral:lncRNA from 1 species
ACCUUGGAAGUUCUUAUUUGCAUGUAUAAUAGAGAAAACAUAGAUCCAAGGUAUUUAGGGUUGCAUGUACACUUAGGAGUGUUAGAAUGCUCAAAACCCAACAGUGGUAUCAGAGCCUAGGCUUGUUUUCUUGUUAUACCUGCAAUAGAAGCUGAAAAAACGAAUCUGGUGCUGUCUGGCCAUCAGACUCGGCGAGUCCAUCAGGAGACUCGACGAGUCCAUGCCUAAAAAGUGAUGAAUUCGAUCCAACUCGCCGAGUUUGUUCAUGCACUCGACGAGUUGGACCCCCAGACAGCAUAUUUUCGAGUUUUUUGGCUAGAAAUGGACUAGGAACAUUACCCUAAGUUGUUUUUGAACUUAUAAACUUGUUUUUGAUGUGGUAAUGUUCAUGCUAAUCCAUUUUCAAAGAUAAUUGUCAAUAGAUUCAUGUUUUGUAUUAGUUUAAGGUUUAGACUAAUUACAUGAAAAAGUUUGAUUUGAAUUAUCUUGUUCUUAUGAGUUGCUUAGAUUAAUAGAAAUGUUGAGUGAAAUAGUUGUUUUCAAUCCAUUUUAAUCUAAGAGUUGAGUAUAAAAUGUGUUUGUGUAACUUGUCCUCAAGUUACAUGAAGAGUCACAUUAAAGACUCAUAAAACUCAUAAAAGUUGGCAAUGGUUACAAAAUGAAGAGUCUUGUGUCAUUGAAUAAUUUUUUUUGACUCCAUAACUUGUCCUCAAGUUAUGGAAGUUCAAGAGUCACUUCAUUAAAGAAAAAUAUGUAACCAUAAUUAAAUCCAUAAGUUAUAAAAUAAAGAAAAAGUUAGUUCUUUUAUUAGUUUAAAGUCUUCCAUAACUUGUCCUCAAGUUAUGGAACUUGAAGAGUUUUUGGAUUAAAACUACUUUAAACACAUAAGUUAUGGAAUUAAUUAGUUUUGAAUAGUUUCAAAACUUGCCCUCAAGUUUUGGAAUUUGAAAAGUUUUCAAGUAUGAAUACUUUAAUUCCAAGUUAGCCCUUAGAAUUUUAAAAGUUAAAAUUCAACCCUUAUACUUUAUAAUAUUAUAAGUUAAUAAUAUAUAUAUGUAUAAGAGUAAAGUCAGUCUUACCGCUAGUACGCCUCAUUCACGAAGCCGGUCUAUAAGGUGGGUAUAAGGUUGUUGCCUAUAAAAUGGCAACUUAAUGGGUGUCCACUCUCACCCACCGCUUGCUUGACUGGUGGAGGGUCGUUAGCCGAACGGGUUUGACAGGACUAGAAUUCUCCCUUCAUUAAAAGUAUUAAUGAUAAUACUAAGUAACUAAACUCUUAAUAAUACCCAAUCUUAGUUACUUAGGAAAAAUGUGAAUAAGGUGCUAAUCCAUGAAAUUACACUUUACACUUUGUCUAAGUCGUUAGUGGAGCGUGUGUGGUUAACCGGCACACUAACUUGGACUUAACAAGGUAGGUAAAGGGUGACUUAAUAUUUAUCAUAGUAUCGAUGGAGCGUGUGUGGUUAACCGGCACAUCGAUUGAGGGGUAAUUUAUUAAGGGUACCAAGUGAUUUGCAUGGUUACUUCACACCUUGUUUUGUGAUCCUCGGCAUCCCAGUCACAAAACCUGAAGGGCACACUCGAGAUUGAAACAUGCCUUUGAAAAGUUCAAUGAAUCUCAAAGAUCUAGGAGUUUCAAAACCAAUUAAAACCUAAUAAUACAUUUCGUUUAUCUUGGUGGAAAUUGGUGAAUCGUCAUUCACCUACCUUCAAAUAUUUUAUAGCUUGGAUUACGGCAUACCUCUUCUAAGUUAUAAAAUAGUUUGUUGGGUCCUAGCCUUAAUAUUUCAUAUUGGGUGUCAUAUUAAGGACUUUAAAUCAACUAUCUUGAAUAUCUCCCAAAAGAUGUCUGGUUUAGACACCUAUGAUCUUCCCAAAUCUCUUGAAACAAGGUUUCCUAAUGAAGAUGAUGUCCCAUGGAUAUCAUACUUCUUCACCUCUUCAAAUUAUUCUCCCUAACCCACAAGUUCUUGAAAAGUUUAAGGUCACUCAGGCCCUAUUAGCAAGGCAAGGUCUAGGUGUGGUCACAUCUUGGAGAUGUAGUCACAUAUUGACAAGCCGGGAGAGUUGGGUGUCAAAGUCUUGAGAAAGUUGGUGGUUCAAUCACUUUCUAAGUCACAUAGUGAGUUCCUUUGGGACACCUAUGAAACAGACUAUGACAAGACCCUUAAUGAUCUUAUCUAUUUGCUAAGAUCAACUUCCUAAAACUUUAUGGACAUUGACAAUGAUGACAUUGGAUAUCCAGUAAAGCAUUCUCUUCCCAAUGGAAAGGGAUCGGCCAUAGUCAACUCGGUUGACCAAAUGGUAAAGAGAAAAGCUAAGUCUGUGAUAGUCCCGUGUACCAUUAUCAAAGGGUCCAUAUGUUUAUAUUGCCAAAGGAAGGGGCAUUGGUUGCGAAGCUGCCAAAUUUACCUAAGGAUGUUAAAGUCAAUAAGUUUGACUCUACUUCAGGUAAAGUCCACUAUCUAACUCUGUUAAGUUUCUAUUCUGAGAUUCUUGAUACAUGAUGUGACUGGGUCACAUGGUGAUGUUUUAAGAAUCAAAGAAAAGUGAAGAAACUUAAAGAAAGAAUAUGCUGAAUCUGAUGGCGUAGAUGGAUUUCUAUCGCAUAGUUUGAAGAUCGGAUUCUUGAGCUACUUCUUAGGAGUUAUGAGAUAUUGCUUAGGAAUAGAUAACAACAAGUUUUCAUAUGGAUUGUAAGGAUAAGUUUUUCCGCAAAGUUUUAAAAUAAAAGAAAAUUUUUUUGAUUUUAUUUAUUUUAAAAUAUCCUUACAAUGGCUUUUGAGGAAAAAUUGUUGCUUAUAUGAUUCCAUUAAGAGCAAGAGUGGAAAUAUGAAAUUGAUUCUUUCAUUUGUGGUAAUGUCUAGAUUUACCAAAUAAGGAAAGAUUCUCAUCACCCAAGUUUCAAUUGGACCGGAACUUGGAAUCAUGCAAGUUGUAUAGCAUGAUGAAUGAGAACUUUCAAGUUUUGGAAAAUUAAGACUAAUUACUUGUUCACAUGGAUGUGUGAGUCAAGUAAAGGACUAAGGGAUCGAGUACACAUUCUUGUGCACUGAUUAAGUCCACCACUAAAGAUCGAUAAGAAGAAUCAAAUUAGGCAGAAGGAUAAAAGUUUCUCAAAUCUGAAAAGAUGGGAGAGUACUUUAGUAUCAGUUUUGUGAUCAUCUUAAUGAUUAAGAAACCAUAUCACAAUUAGUUCUCUAAGGAAAUCUUAGUGCAUUCUUAUGACUAAGAAGAGGAACUUGAAUUGUUGAAAUGGUUAAAUCAAGAAGAUGAGUCAUACUUCGUUCCAAUACAAGUCUUAGAGUCAUACUCCAAGAUUGUCAUUUGAGUGACAUGUCUUAAAGAAGGUUUAAAACACUUGUCAAAUGUAAGAGUAAAAGUUUUCUACUCUUGUACAUUUGAAAUUGGUAAGUUGUGAUGUUUUGGAUAAAACAAAGACCAACUUAGGCCAAUUGGGUAAAGUGUUUUUCUUGAUUAGAAUCCGCACUAUCUCUUGGAUGUUUGACAAGGGAGUCUUAUAUGUCAAGAGGACAGUGGGAGUCUUAAAGGUCUUGAAAGUCUCAAGAAAUAAUCAAGAAUAAAACCUGAAGUUCUUCACUAGCACACGACUUGAGGUUUAUAACCUAUCGUGUUGACAUAUCUGUGCCCAUUCCAGUUAAAGUUGGCUUUGCAUAUGAGUUCUUAGAGUUCUCAGUUUGUUGCAUAACAACUUGGAAGCAAUGGCAGGCCCUUGAGCUGCCAGGUGGCAAGAAGUUAAGAUUGAGUUCAAUCCAUAUGGUUUUGGAUUUGUCAUUAUCUUUGUCUUGUGAUUAUGGUUUGACAAAUUCAUAUGGGUAGGAACUCAUACACCAUAUAAAUCUAAGUGUCAUAAGGUUUCUCUCCGAUUCAUGAAAAUGAUGGUGAGGAAACGCUUUCACUAAGUAGAUUUUACGAAGAUAUCAAUUGUGUUAUUUGCAUUUUCAAAAGUCGUUAGUGGAGCGCGUGUGGUUAACCGGCACACUAACAUGGACUUGUGAGAAAUGGCAAAUGCCUAAGCAAUUGAGACCAUGAUUACGGUAUCCCUUUUCAUGGUUCUUGAAAUUGCUUAGACACACAGGUGAGCUAUCUACGGAAAGGGUGUAUGAAUCUAAAUUUCAGACUGUCCAGCUGAUUUCUGAGUACAUGUCAAAGCUAGUGGGAGCAUAAGUGUUAUGCUAAUAAUCAUCAUGUUAGUGGGAGCAUGAUAAUUAUGAUAAGUAUUGCAAGUUAGCAAUGUUAAUUAUAGAAAACAAAAGUUUCAAUUGGGAAAAAGUUGUUUUGCUAUAAUUAAGGGAGAGGAAAUUAUGCUUCAUCUCAAAUCUAUAAGCUUAGAUCGUGAGGUUUUAAUCAUUUAGUCAAGGAUAUAUAUGAAUUUCAUGUUGGAAUGGCUCAACAUAAGGAAAUUCUGUAUAUGGGUCCAUUAUUUGCGUUCUAAAAUUCGAUUAUGAUUACGGCAUCCCUUUUCAUAAUCUGAAUUAUGAGAACUUGGCAAAUUGAAAUGGAAAUAUUAUAGCAAAAGACUGGUUUAGUCUUUAUGUAAGACAUCAUGAAUCGUGUCCCAUAUGCUUCGGAUAUAGGAUCGAUUACAUGUGCUAUAUUCAUCCGUUCUAAAAUUUUCCAAAUGCCUGGGGCAUUAAGAAGGGAAAAGGUUUAGAACUGGAUAUGACUAAAAGGAUUAAACAAUUGUCGAGGACAAUCUAAGGUUUACCAAAGAUUGGUUACUCAAGGACAAUUGGAAGUAUAGUGAUAAUUCUGGAAGGACCAUAUUGACAUAAUCUGUAAGGAGGCAACUCUUGUUCAGAAGUGAUAGUCAAAAUGGAAUCUGGAAAUGUUUCAAAGUUAGAAUUUUCAAUCUGUGUAAGAUUAAGGAAACUUAAUGCAAGAAGGAUAUUUCCAAGGAGUUGAUCUCCUUUGGAAUACUCUGUAAUGAUUGUUGCCAAGUCUUUGUGACUUUGUGCAUAAUCAUUACAAGAGGAUCAAUGCAUAUAAGUUUAGAAUCUAACAGAUUUCAGUAAAUGGCAUGAAUUUGGAAUUCUUGCAUUUGCAGUAAGGAUUUGGGAGUGUGAAAAGAGAAUCAUUGAAGUUAUGUUCAAUUGAUCUAGUUCACAAAGUAAAGAUCAUAGACAAACAUAGUAUGCAUACUUGGUGUGUGGCAUGACUAGUGUUUAAGAAAACAUAGUGUACAUGCUUGGAGCAUGGGACAACUAUUGUUUUAAAUUCAAGAAUAAAGUUGAUAGCUGAAACAGUAUACAAUGAAUAAUGUGUAAUCAUAUGGUGAUAAAUAAAAGGUGUUUUAUUUAUGUUCAAAGGGUUGAUACCAUAUUGGAUUCAAUUAUUAUUGUGUUUCAUUUUGCAUGUUUUGACUUCCCGAAUAAACUGGGUUAUUCUUCCGGAAUGACUAAGUUAUUCAAACCAUCCACAGUCGGUCAUAUGUUGGAAGUAGAUAUGAAUUAAGACUGUCAUGGGUUGGCUUGUAGAGGUCUAAGGUGUUGGACAAAGGGCUACAACACUCAUGAGUGCUCAUAAGUUCUGAGUAUUGGAUUCAACCCGCGCUCAUUGGAAUCACUUCAUGGAUUUUAUCACGAGUGAUCAUGAGACGAUAAUAUCUUAUAUUCUUCAAACCUAGAGAUAUGAGUUGUUACUAUGAGUUGAUAGUACAUUGAUUGCACGAAAACGCAUUUGGUAACUCGGUGCUAUAAAACGUGCCUUUGUGUAUGAUUCAACAAGUAGUAGAACAAGCCAUAUGAGUCGAAGUUUAUCCAUUCCUUUUACCUUCGGGAUAAAAGCGAUAUCUGUGGGCCCCUCGAUGAUUUGAUGAUGACAAAUGGAAGUGCUCGGCCGGGCCAGGACUGAUUUGAUUUGUUCAAUUAGUCAGUCGUCAUAAAUCGGAAAUCGGGAAACAACAAAUGGACAGAGAGAAUGAUUAUAAUCCAUGUCUCAGUCCAUAUGAUAUCUAGAAUGGAGGAAUAUAUGAUCCCUUAUCUAAUGGACAAGUCAUUGACAAAGGUCAGAGUUCAUCUACAAGGUCAGAGUUCGACAGAAGCUUUUGAGAGCUACGAUUGCCAGUUGGUUCCUGAAGUCAUACGCAAUAAUAGUUUUAGACUUAUCCAAGUGGGAGACUGUUGGAUUAAUGUCUAAGUCCAUAACUAUAAUUGGUAAGACUUGACCCGACCCGGCAUGGUCCAUUUGGGUUGCAUACCAUCAUGCACUUGGAUAGACUAUAAUGAGAGAAAUAAGACACUUAUGGUUAUUAAUAUAUUAUAAGUUCUAGUAUAUUAAUAAUAAGAAUAAUAAGAUUAUUUAAUUAGUAUUGAUCAAGAAUUAAUCUAGGAUUAAUUAAGUGAUCAAAAGAAGACUAAUUAAAUAUAUGGGUUGAUUGUGUAAAUCAUCCAUACUUGUAUAGUGGGCUAAUGCUCCAUGGAUAAUCAAGUUGGGCUAAAACCCAUAGGAUGGUCCAUGGAUGCUCCAUGGUGUAUUUGUACCCAUGGAUCCAAGGAAAUGGAAAGCCAUGACAAUUAAGAGUUUACCCUAAUUGUGUAACUAUAUAAGCAUCUUAUUAUUGAGGAAAAAUCGGCCACUAGUAGUAUUCAAGAAAGGGCUAGCCGAUUUUGGUGCGUGUAGAAUUCUCUCAAGUCAUUCUAAGUGUUUUGAUGAUUGUGAUUCCAUUUGAGGUGUCACACUUGGGGCACUAAGCACUCAAGCUUCAUGAAGACUUUCUACAUCAAGAGGUAUGUAUUCUAUCUUGUUACAUUAUUGUUUUGUAUGCUAGAUUAGGAUAAUACCUUGGAAGUUCUUAUUUGCAUGUAUAAUAGAGAAAACAUAGAUCCAAGGUAUUUAGGGUUGCAUGUACACUUAGGAGNCGACAAUAUGUACAUAUGAUAUAUAACUAAUAUUUAAACAACCUUCGGACGAAUACCCGAUGUCCCACCAGACCACAUCUCAAGCGCGAAAAGGAAAUAGGUAAUGGGUUUGAGCCAUAAGAACAUUCCUAUGUGCACAUACAAACCCUAAUGCUUGGAUCUAGGUUUCUCUAAUUGAACAUGCAAUAAUUCCAAGACUUUAAUUGAUAGAUCUUGUAUAAUAAACUAAGAAAUCAGAUCUGAAAGAUUACCUUGAAUUACUUGCAAGAAUCUUCUUGUCCUUAGAGCUUAGAGUCACAAAUGUCACUCCUCUAAUGUCUUACAAACACCAACUUAGCAAGAGGAUGAUUAGAGAGAGAGAGAGAGAGAAGGGUAAGAAAAGUCGGCCAGGGUUCCUCCAAUACCAAGGGUGCCGAUUUUCUUAACCCCAUAGGUCUAUUUAUACUAGUGAGCCUUCUAGGGUUUCACCCUUAAAACCUUAAUUGGAUAACUUAGGCCCUAAGCAAUCCAAUCUCCUUAUUGAUAAGCCCUUGGACGAUUUCUAGGCCUUUCCUAACCCUAAAAUCGUCCACUCCCUUAUUCAUAAGGAAACAUAGCCCAAAGUACAACUAUCACACAAUUGAAAGUUUAUGCCCCUUUAUUCAAUUAAUCUCUUUAAGUCACCAAAUUAAUUCUUAAUUAAUUUAUGACUUAUAUUAAUCAAAUAACAAUAUUAUUAUUCCUUAUAUUAUUCUCAUAAUAUAUUAAUAAUAUUUCUUCUCUCAUUACAAAUCAUCCUGUCAAGUUGCUAUGGUGAAGGCAACCCAAAAGGACCAUGAACAACCGGGUCAAAUACUAGCCAAAUAUAGUUGCAGCCUUAGACACUAUUCCAACAAUAGGGUGGAUAGCCUUCCUAAGUCUUUUAAAC